rnacentral:rRNA from 1 species
CCUACGGGAGGCAGCAGUGGGGAAUAUUGCACAAUGGGGGAAACCCUGAUGCAGCAACGCCGUGUGAGUGAAGAAGUAUUUCGGUAUGUAAAGCUCUAUCAGCAGGGAAGAAGAUGACGGUACCUGACCAAGAAGCCCCGGCUAACUACGUGCCAGCAGCCGCGGUACUACGUAGGGGGCAAGCGUUAUCCGGAUUUACUGGGUGUAAAGGGAGCGCAGACGGCAGUGCAAGUCUGGAGUGAAAGCCCGGGGCCCAACCCCGGAACUGCCCUGGAAACUGUGCGGCUAGAGUACUGGAGGGGCAGGCGGAAUGCCUAGUGUAGCGGUGAAAUGCGUAGAUAUUAGGAGGAACACCAGUGGCGAAGGCGGCCUGCUGGACAGUAACUGACGUUGAGGCUCGAAAGCGUGGGGAGCAAACAGGAUUAGAUACCCCAGUAGUC